GACGAACGCUGGCGGCGUGCUUAACACAUGCAAGUCGAACGGAAAGGCCCUGCUUUUGUGGGGUGCUCGAGUGGCGAACGGGUGAGUAACACGUGAGUAACCUGCCCUUGACUUUGGGAUAACUUCAGGAAACUGGGGCUAAUACCGGAUAGGAGCUCCUGCUGCAUGGUGGGGGUUGGAAAGUUUCGGCGGUUGGGGAUGGACUCGCGGCUUAUCAGCUUGUUGGUGGGGUAGUGGCUUACCAAGGCUUUGACGGGUAGCCGGCCUGAGAGGGUGACCGGCCACAUUGGGACUGGGGUACGGCCCAGACUCCUACGGGGGGCAGCAGUGGGGAAUAUUGCACAAUGGGCCGAAGCCUGAUGCCACAACGCCGCGUGCGGGAUGACGGCCUUCGGGUUGUAAACCGCUUUCGCCUGUGACGAAGCGUGGGUGACGGUAAUGGGUAAAGGAGCACCGGCUAACUUCGUG
rnacentral:rRNA from 1 species